rnacentral:rRNA from 1 species
ACUAUGCUUGGCCCUAAACCUCAAUAGUUAAAACAACAAAACUAUUCGCCAGAAUACUACGAGCAACAGCUUAAAACUCAAAGGACUUGGCGGUGCUUCAUACCCCCUAGAGGAGCCUGUUCUGUAAUCGAUAAACCCCGAUCCACCCCACCCUCUCUUGCUUAGUCUAUAUACCGCCAUCUUCAGCAAACCCUGAUGAAGGCCACAAAGUGAGCGCAAACGCCCUCCCCCGCAAAGACGUUAGGUCAAGGUGUAACCUAUGAGACGGUAAAAAAUGGGCUACAUUUUCUACUUCAGAAAACCCCACGAUAGCUCUUAUGAAAUCUAAGAGCCCAAGGAGGAUUUAGCAGUAAAUUAAGAAUAGAGUGCUUAAUUGAACUAGGCCAUAAAGCACGCACACACCGCCCGUCACUCCCCUCAAAUAUACUUGAGGAACACCUUAACUAAAUGCCCUAGCAUUUAUAUAGAGGGGAUAAGUCGUAACACGGUAAGUGUACUGGAAGGUGCACUUGGACAAAU